GGAGUUGUGGCUCAGUGGUAGAGCACUAGCCUAACACAUGAGAGGCACUGGGUUUGAUCCCCAGCACCA
rnacentral:tRNA from 1 species